rnacentral:tRNA from 1 species
UUAAUUAAAGCCAAAUAGAGGCAUAUUAUUGUUAAUAAUAGAAUUGGGUCGACCUAAUUAAU